AACGAACGCUGGCGGCAGGCCUAACACAUGCAAGUCGAGCGGACCCUUCGGGGUUAGCGGCGGACGGGUGAGUAACGCGUGGGAACGUGCCCUUUGCUUCGGAAUAGCCCUGGGAAACUGGGAGUAAUACCGGAUACGCCCUUUUGGGGAAAGAUUUAUCGGCGAAGGAUCGGCCCGCGUUGGAUUAGGUAGUUGGUGGGGUAAUGGCCUACCAAGCCGACGAUCCAUAGCUGGUUUGAGAGGAUGAUCAGCCACACUGGGACUGAGACACGGCCCAGACUCCUACGGGAGGCAGCAGUGGGGAAUCUUAGACAAUGGGGGAAACCCUGAUCUAGCCAUGCCGCGUAAGCGAUGAAGGCCUUAGGGUUGUAAAGCUCUUUCACCGGGGAAGAUAAUGACGGUACCCGGAGAAGAAGCCCCGGCUAACUCCGUG
rnacentral:rRNA from 1 species